CCGAUUUCUCUGCCGCUUGUGAGCAGACAGCUUGUCUCCUGAAAAUCGACCACCAUACCUUCAAUCCUGUCCCUGGCUGCCCGUCACUCCCCGAGAAAGCGUUCGCUUUGAAAACGAAAGCGGCCCUCAUUAACUACUGCCCAGGCUACUCUGAAACUGAGAGAAAUGGUACUCUGGAAAUGACACGAGAAAUCAGAAACAUCUGCCUGAAUCAAACCUCACAAAUUCUAGGAUUGUGGCUUUCCUGCAUUCAAUCUUGAAGAAAAAAUUAGCUUUUGGAUUAUAUUAUGAAAAUAUAUAUCUUGUUUUUAGUAGAUAUAAUACUAAGGGUGUGACACUUAAAAGAACACUAAUGUUUAUUCUUUAAUUAUAGAAGGGAUUCUUAACUUAUUUUUGGCAUAUCGUUGUUUAGUGUAGGCGCUUUAAAUGGAAAAUGAGCAUUACCCCUUUAAUGGAAAUAACCGUGCUGUUAAUGAUUGGCUUCGGCUUCUGAGCAGUCUUUCUCACCUCACCUGAGACACUUUACUCUAGGGCAAACCUAACUGUAGUAGGAAGAAAAUCAAAAGUAGAAAAACAGUUGAAACCAAUGACAGGAUCUAUACUCCAUUUAAA
rnacentral:lncRNA from 1 species